UGGGGAUUCGUUGGAUGGGGAUAGCCAAUUAAGGGAAUUGGGAAAGUGAAUGAGAUGGGAAUGGGAAAAGUGAAGUCGGAGGUCUGGGAAUGAGGAAAUAGUUGUUCGAACCUCUCUUUCUUUUUUUUAAUAAAAAAGGGUGAGGCUCUCACAUUGCUUAAUAAGAUGGGUGAGUUUUAUUUUUUUUGUAUUUUUAAAUGACUUGACUCAAAACAACGUCGUUUUGGCCGAGUGAUUAAAAAGAGCAGUCUUCUUCUCCUAAUUUGCAGAACCUGAAGUGUAGUCGUCGUUGCUAUUCUCCUCCAUCACAUGCCCAGACAUGGGUGGUCCUUGGAAGUCUUCACAACUACUUAUCCGGGCUUUCGGAUGAUUUUAAGACCACUUAGGUCCCUUAAUAGAUCCCCUGUGACUGUCCAUAGUAUUCCAGUAUAAUAUAAUGCAAUAUUAUUUGUGAAUUUAUCUCUAUGUGACAUUGCAUUAUAAACCGAAACGUCAUGUGAUGGAAAAUUCAUUCCAUAACUAGAGUGGUAAGAUUAAAAAUUUAUCCAAAUUUAAAAUCUAAUUAACUGAUGCAUCAACCUUUUUUAGCGGCGAGUAUGAAAUCAAGUGGGUGAAUAAAACAUCACUCGAAUUCAAAUUGUGUAAAUAUUUUCUGCUCAUAAAUUGCAACACGUUGCAUAUCAGUUUUGCACACAAAAUGACAAUUCUGCCUUUGGAAGAAAUGUAGGCCUACAAUCCCUUCGAGACGUCCUCCAGGCAGGCCUGGCUCAGGCCCAGUACGGGCAGGGCAAUCGUUCGGGACCCAAUAAAUUUGGAGGCAUCAAAAUUAUUAGGGUGAUAUAUUUAUAUAUGUUUUUAUAAGAGUAUAAAUUUAUAAAAUUUGGUUUAGUGACAAAGAAAUUUAAUUAGAACUGGUGGCAUUGUUGUUUAAAAUGAAUGAGGAGAUCUUAGGUUCAAAACACCAUGUGUGCUUAUUUACAUUCCAAUUUUAAAAAAUUUCGUUUCAUAACAGUAUAAAUUUAUAAAAUUUGGCUAAAUGAUCAAAAAGUUUAAUUAGAAGCAAUGGUUUUUUGUCGUUUAAAAUUAAUGAGAGGUCCUAAGUUCGAAAUGCUAUGUGCAUGUUUAUUUUUUUUUUCAAUUUUUACAAAUUUUUGUUUGGUUGUUAAUUUAUUUACUAGCUAGUAGCUAUGUGGGUUGCUAUUUUUAAAAAUCCAUUCCAAUUCCAGUCUAAUCUUCAACAAAGAGUAAUGCUUAGACUAAAUUUUUAGACUAAAUUUGCAAAUAAUAUUACAUGUCAUCAAAAUGUUUAAUUUAGUGUUCAUUCAUUACUUAUACAUAUCCUUAAAGACUCAAAAACAUUAAUAUUUUUUAGUCUUAUAUUGACGGGUUAGUAAAUAAGAAAAAAUAACUCAUGAUUUAUACAAAAACACUUUAAAAGUUCAGAUGGAAAACAAAACUUAUAAUCUAUCUACUUGUAAGCCCAAAGUUUUUUAGUUUCCUUCUCUUGAUACAAAAUAAUUUAAUUAUUUCGUGUUUCUAAAUUAUUGAGUUUGAAAUGUUUUUCUAAAUAUAAUUUUAUUGAUGUCUUACGUGUGAAAAUAAAUAUUUUUUUUAUAUGAAAUGAAGGCACAUUUUUUGACGUCGCCCCGGCCCUGCCUCCGGGACCUACAAUCCUACAACUUUGUCUUUUAACUGUAGUUGUUUUCCCAUAUUUAACCAAUUUGAACAGAGAUUAAAUUUUUUUGCACUCAAAAUAUGUGACUUGUCAUUGUUUGACACAU
rnacentral:lncRNA from 1 species